rnacentral:lncRNA from 1 species
CGACAUGCAAGCAGGACUCUCCUCUAGCCCCCAAUCGCAAUCCCUUACAUAACCCCUCAACCAUGCCCCAUCAGCCCAGUCCACGUAAUCUCAGUUCAUUGGCCUUCGUCAAAUGCCCUGAUCUUAGGUCAUGGUGCGCCUGCGCAGCUCUCACGAUGGACAUGGCUUAUUUCCGGGUGUAUGAGGAAGUCAGGCUGCAGUCCCGGGCACCAUCUUGGGACAACCGCCACACCCGCUCCCCACAGGAUGUUAUGUAAAAUGCUAGCCUCUGGUCCCUCUGGUCUUGCUAACAGCACUUAAAGCUUACAGACAGACACCUGCUCACCUCAGAAGUACAUGUGAUAGAUUUGAUAGGAGUAAACAACAGUGCUCCAGGUCUGAGCCUUGUCUGAAAACCUGGAAAUAAUCGUGACAUUUGAGGAAGCUUAAAGAUCGCCAUUGAUCUUUGUUAAGGAAGAAAGCUUUAAGCAUCCAUCCUUCCUGCUGAGCCGCAAGGAUCUGGUGGCAGUUAAGUGAUUGCUACAGUUGGCCCCCCUGGCCACCCUUCCCCUGCAAAGCGCCAGCUGAGGUUGAAGGAGAUUCAUCAUUUGCUACUUCCUCAGCCUACAUCAAGCCCUAUUCAGGCCCUUUUCUGCCUAAUGAGGCCCGCAGAGCCACCAGCUGCUGCUGCUUAUCCUUGAAUCAACCAAAGUAGCAGCAGGAAAAGCUCCGUGAGCUACUCCUGACACAAUUCUCCAGAUAAUUGUUUUAGAACCAUGUUCUUGCUCUAGCCCAAAUGAAUUAACUUCUUGUGAUAUGUGUGGCCCAAGCCACUAGCAUCUCAGAAGUAUGAUGUCCAAUGUGCUGGAAGAUGGAAAACCACAGAGUGGAGAAACGAAUGUCGGUUGAACAUCACACGAUGAACAGGAAACUCAGAACAGCCUUGCGAUUUCAGCCGUGCUAGGGAGGGGCUCCGAGGAAGAGACGGAACUGGCACUGUAAUGGUUUGACUCAUGGAGUUUUAUAAAAACAGCUCUUUCUAAAUCAAGUUCAGACAGGCUCAGGACACGACUUUCUAUUCUGGCAUGCCAUUAAAAAAUAUCGAAAA